AUUGAACGCUGGCGGCAGGCCUAACACAUGCAAGUCGAACGGUAACAGGAAGAAGCUUGCUUCUUUGCUGACGAGUGGCGGACGGGUGAGUAAUGUCUGGGAAACUGCCUGUUGGAGGGGGAUAACUACUGGAAACGGUAGCUAAUACCGCAUAACGUCGCAAGACCAAAGAGGGGGACCUUCGGGCCUCUUGCCAUCGGAUGUGCCCAGAUGGGAUUAGCUAGUAGGUGGGGUAACGGCUCACCUAGGCGACGAUCCCUAGCUGGUCUGAGAGGAUGACCAGCCACACUGGAACUGAGACACGGUCCAGACUCCUACGGGAGGCAGCAGUGGGGAAUAUUGCACAAUGGGCGCAAGCCUGAUGCAGCCAUGCCGCGUGUAUGAAGAAGGCCUUCGGGUUGUAAAGUACUUUCAGCGGGGAGGAAGGGAGUAAAGUUAAUACCUUUGCUCAUUGACGUUACCCGCAGAAGAAGCACCGGCUAACUCCGUG
rnacentral:rRNA from 1 species